UUUUGAGAUGUCCCUUCUUAGUGUCUGUCUCUCCUGCCCUGCCGCUUGUUUGUGAUCCUGUAGGCAUGGUGCUUGAUUUCUGAGACAAUGCAAAAGAGUUCUCACUAGGUACAACACGGUUGGGUGGUAUAAGCCUCUUCUCCAUAACUUCUCAUUUUGUGCCUUUUUCUCCUUCGCCUUCACCCAGAUACGGCUGCUACAAACAGCUCAGGAGGCAGAGCACAUGUGCUGCUGGGGCUGCAGGCAGCGCACAGACACAUCAAGGACUCAGGCAGUGCUGGGAGAAAAGCUCUUCAUUUACGCUGGGGCUGACUCCUAGAUGCUCACGUGUGAUUUUCUUCUCUAAUUUUGCACACAUUGUUUGUCUCCACUAUUUUUUUCAAAACCUGCCAGCACAUGGUUCUUCUUUACACCCAUUGCAAGGAUGAGGAAUGCAGCUUGCUGACAUUUGAGGUGCAAGGAUUGUUUGUGCCUGCAUUGCCCUCAUCAUAAAAAGCUCAGACCGUGAUAACGAUACCUGGACACUAUCAGAGUAUAUGAUUAUAGGACAAAGGGUUUAAUCUCUUCCCUUCCAUCACCUUGCAGUGCUUUUAUCACAGCUCAAGUUGUGUUAAGAUCAGUAAGGCUUGACCUGCAAGCACGAGCAGUGAGAAUCUGUAAUGUUAGGAGUCUGCCGUUUGUGCAAAUGUGCAUUGUGUAAAGAUCACUUUGGUCGGAAAGUACCAGUUUAAAAUCUGUCUUUGUUUAGACUUUGCUACUGGUAUUCUUCUAGAAUUUUUCUCACCAUUAAAGAUUCAUGGGUGCUUCCUUUUUCAACCAGUAACUGAAGGUUUCCUUGGAGGAACCGCUUAUUUAGGGAUUGUCGGGGAUUGUGACACCUGUGAGCACCAAGAGGAAGGGAUGCACAACGACUGCUGCUGCAAACAUUAAACUUUUCUACCCUAGAGACACGAGUGUUCCUGCUUACUGAGUGUCUUCAAGAACGAACUGGAAUUAGAGCACUAAGCAACGCGUUAUUGGUGACAAGCUGCUGGGUAUCUAAUCUCAGACAGAGCCACAGUGAAAAAUGCUGUGGAUGAAUUUGAAAGCAGACUGAGUAUAACCUUUAAGAAAAUGCAGGACCGUUUCAUGUACAGUGACCUUGGGGGCCAGAUCCCCACGCAGUGAAACCCGCAAGUCACUGGAGCUCUGCUGGUGUAUACCUGCAAGGAGUCUGCUCCUAGAGAAGGUUUUGCCGAGUAUCCGGACACUUCUGAAAAACGAUUUCGAAGAAUGAAUUCAGCUUCUGAGAAGGCGUAGGUGUUGACAGCCUGGGAGAAAUUACUGGUGUCAGUGAUGCUUUGUUACAGGCUGGAUGCAAAAACACAGACCCAGACCGUCAAGACUGCAUCAAGGCUUCUCUGCCACUUACUGCAAGUGAAGCCUAAGCAGGAGAUGUGUGCCAAAACACCACUGAGGAUUUCAGCUGCAGAGAAGAGCUCAGUGCCUGCAGAGGCUGUUUGGGAUGGAAAAGGCUCCUUGAGUGUUUGCUGCUGUGGGGCUGCAGGUGGUCGUGCUGUGUGUUCCCCUGUCCUGGCUCCCAGGUAUGUGUGUCCUCUAGGCCCCUGCAGCCACAGGCCUGUGCUGUGACCUGCCUUCCUGAAUUGCCAGCAGCUAAAAAUUUGUCAGGCCCCGGAGUGGAGGCACCAAGAACUUACAGUGACACAGGGGAAGCUGUUUGAUGACUUCUCUGUUUGAUCUUGAUGACUUCUGGAGUUGAAUUUCUGAUGGUGUGGGCAUCUUGGCAACUCUACUUCUAUUCUCUGCCUCCUUUGGCCUUGUGCAGGACGAGCCCAGUGUGCUGGGCUAUCGAUACACUGGAGCUGCAGGUUUCCAAGAGUGCCACAGAGAGUAGGCCUGUAAUCUGUAACAGUUAUAGCCAUAUGCUUAAUAAAAACCCUUCACAACACACCAAGUAAAUAGUGGUUUAGGAAUUACCCAUUCAUUUAUGUGCACAGUAGACCAUGAUAUUUCCAUCUAAGCUGUCGGUCUUUUGCAGCAGGCCCUAUGUGAUUCCUCAGGAGGUUUUUUUAUCGUAUCGCUUCCUAAACUGCAUUAUUGGCUGCAGAGCUCAUGUUUAAUAUUUCCAGAUCUUUGGAGACCCCUGCAAAAUGUAGGCCUGAAAACGCAGUUUCAAGUUGUUUAAAGUUUUCUCUGUUAACUCUGCCUCUAAUUGUUUUCUGCAUGCCAGAGCAGGAGAUUUGUAGAAAUAACGAUUUUGCUUCCUCUCAUUUGCUUGAUUAUAAAACGAAUGUUUCAAUGCAGAUGCAUCAAGUGAGAAAGGCAUGAACUGUGGAAAAGAAAAUAAGCGUGAUUCAUUAGCUGAGACAUUGCAUUGUAUUGAGAUCAGGAGCAGGUCUGAUUACAAACGUGCCCUUUUACCUACUGUGUGACCUUGGAUAAAUCACCUAUUUGCUUUUUGUCCACCCUUUGAACAUGCAGUAUAUAAGCCUGUCUAGUCAAAGACUGUCUCAAGAACAGAUGACUGCAAGGGCUAACUGGGCUCAUGGAGUUGAUUCCCUUGCAAUUGCAGGCAGCUGGGCAACAGGAGUUUUGUUGUGUUGAGGAUCUGGGGGCAUUCAGCAUCAGCUGUACAUCCAGAAGAUUGCUGGCUUGUUCCCAGAGAUCUGAAAUCCCAUUCUUCUCUCUCUUUUAAUGAAGCUCAGAGGUACCCCUUUAUCUCAUUUGAUAAUUGACUGAUGUUACUGAAAAGGAGCAGGAAGCUAGUAGAAGGGUCAGAGGCAGCAAGAAAGUUGUUAAUUGUGUGCUGGGUGAUUUAGCUGUGAAGUAGGUAAAGGAAGAAAGUGAAUCAACCUUUCUGCAUUUCUUUGAUAAAAAGCUUGAAAGUGUGUCCUUAGAAGAGAUUUCCAAAAGUUCAGAGGGAUGGAAAGAAGCAACCCUUUACUUCAGAAAGGAAAUUAUCUCAUACUGACGAAGCCUAAUUGUGGUGCUUUUUGACACUGCCUGGAGGGGAAUAUGGGUAGUUUGCUUCUCCUGAAUUUGAGUUGAACUGGUGCACUAGCUGAAGUCCUUCAGCCUUUCCUAUCUGAACAGGGCUUAGUUUGUGAUAAGGGUUCAGUGUUACAAAGAGAUACAAAAUCUUCAUGUGUCCUGUGCUUCAGUGAAACACCGAUAACAGAAACAAACCCCCUGAUGUGAGAUGUUCUAGGGUUAUCUCUGAGGAAAGCUGCUCUUCAUGUGACUGCCAAUUGCAAAUGAACUUGGUUAUAAAAUUCGUCUUUAUUGCCACCUUUCCAUAUCCCUGAGGUUAAUUCUGAAAUAUGCAUGAAAUAUAAUUAGUGCAGAUCCAUUUCUGCCAGCACGUUUUACAUAAGUGGCUCCCAGUGGCAGACCUGGAUGUAUUCAUAAUAAAAUGAUUCAGUUAAAUGUAAUACCACUUGGU